rnacentral:rRNA from 1 species
AUUGAACGCUGGCGGCAUGCCUUACACAUGCAAGUCGAACGGCAGCACGGGUGCUUGCACCUGGUGGCGAGUGGCGAACGGGUGAGUAAUACAUCGGAACAUGUCCUGUAGUGGGGGAUAGCCCGGCGAAAGCCGGAUUAAUACCGCAUACGAUCUACGGAUGAAAGCGGGGGACCUUCGGGCCUCGCGCUAUAGGGUUGGCCGAUGGCUGAUUAGCUAGUUGGUGGGGUAAAGGCCUACCAAGGCGACGAUCAGUAGCUGGUCUGAGAGGACGACCAGCCACACUGGGACUGAGACACGGCCCAGACUCCUACGGGAGGCAGCAGUGUGGAAUUUUGGACAAUGGGCGAAAGCCUGAUCCAGCAAUGCCGCGUGUGUGAAGAAGGCCUUCGGGUUGUAAAGCACUUUUGUCCGGAAAGAAAUCCUUGGCCCUAAUACGGUCGGGGGAUGACGGUACCGGAAGAAUAAGCACCGGCUAACUACGUG